CCUGUUCGAAUCUAGAUCAUAUGAUUACAAAACUAAUUUUGUUCCACAUAAUUGAACUAGAGUCCAAGUUCAAAUCACAGACAACGAAUCAAUUUAAAAAAACAACAGAAGACAUUUGGUCAAUCUUCAUUGAUUUUAUGUUUCAAUCAUGUGAAGCUACAACCAUAGAAUCUCGAGUCGUGUACCUGGAAGUUGAAGUAUAAACCAAAAAUUGAGGGGGUCAGUCAAAUAGCAAUAGCAGCAGCAAAUGACCAAUCCAGCAGGGUUCAACAACGACAAUAGGAGAAAUUUCAGAAACAAAUGACACCAGAGAAUCCAAGAAUCAACCCCACCAAUCAAUAAACCUAAGCAGAUAACCAAUCAACUCCGUCGAACAAACCAGAUUCAACUUGAAAUCAUAUUCUUGUACCUUUUAAGCUUCAGUUACCCAACAAUACCAAGAAAACUUAAGCUAUUUUAAUCCUAGAUGAACUAGAAUCAGAAAACUUCCUCAAUGGAACAAUAAUAUAUUUUUUCUUGUAUGUUUCUCUUCCUUUAUCUUUUUUACUCUCUUUUUGAGAUUGCUCUUCUCUUCUCCAGUCUCUUCCUAGUUCUGUCCUAAGUCCCUCCACUUAUACCCAAACACUGGCCUUGCCAGAUCUCAAGAGCACUCAGGCAUAAUUAAGAAACUAAUUCUGCCCAUGAUCUCUUUUAGAAUUCCACUAGAGUCUCUUUUUCCCAUUAUCCCUUGUCCUUUCCUUAUUUAAUGUUCAAACAGGCAUGGGCCACAUAUUUUAAUCAUCCCUUUAAGCCUUCCCCUACCAUUAUGUUUUGUUCCCCAUUAGCACUAAACAAAUGCAUUAGUUUAAUAUUAAUUAAGUGCUUUACUGACAGCACACUUAGCAAGACCAUUUUGCCAAACUUUUAAACCCCAAAACUACCCCUGAAAUUACUGUGAUUUAUUGUCCUAGUCCAAUCCUCUGUAUCUCAUCAGCUAUAACCAAUCUCCUUAAUCAAAUAACUAAGUUGAUUCCUAAUUGAUCACCAAACUACAGCAGCUAUAACCAAUUUAAUUCAAAUUCACUUAGUAGCUCGAACUUAGAACUCAGAUUAGAUCAAAUAGCAGACUGAUGUAAAACUGCUAAGAUGCACAUGUAUAUGGGAAUAACUGACUGCAUUCACAAUUCUAAACCAAUACUUUCCUAAAAAUGAAUGAAACAUUGUAAUAUCCCAAAUUCAUAUGCAACAAACUGAUUGGCAACGGAGAGGAAAGAAUCAAACAUAACCUAAUAAGACAAUUUGAAUCUACAGUAAUAUCAAACGAUCACAGUUUUAUACAAUCACCCACUGAACUUGUCUAACUCGAAAUACUCAACAAUGUAAAGAAGAAGCUAAUCCAGAGUGCAACCAAACAGACAGGGGUUCGAGCGAUUCCAACUAAAUCCUAUCAACUAUGAAAUCCAAUUAAUAUAGUGACGAAAAUUUGGACCAGAAAAAGGUGUGAAAGAGGAGGAGGAUUAAUUGACAAACAUAGCAAGGAAACCUAAUUAGGCAAACAACAAACAACAAUCAAAGAAGAAAAAGGAAAAAAGGAGAAAUACCUCAAAAAUCAGAAACCCAAAUGAACUCCGUACUCAUUGACACUUCGUCUUGAAAUUUUGAAGCCAAAACGAACCUUAAUCGAGUGUUCUCGAUUGAUAACACUCAACUAAAGUCGGUUAAGACCUCAAACCUUUAACUUCGUAUACAGACUGAAGCUGGUCCCUCUAGGGUUUGCCUUCGAUUUAAAAUUCGAAAAGCUCUAACAAGAUUUGGACAGAACCUGGGUGGGAUUUGGGACAGGGGUAGCUAGGUGGUUCAGUGGUGUAACUUUGGGACUGAUUGGGUAGGUUUGAGGUUUGAGGUCAUGGCUUCGAUCUAAGAUUCGAAGCAGUCGGCCACGAUUCGGGGGUGAUGGUUAGAGGGGUUAGGUUGGAGAGGUCGAGGGGAAGAUGUGGUGUAAUUUUGGUGGUCAUUGGACGGAUUAGGGUUUGGUUCGAUUCUUCGAUCUAAGAUUCGAAUCGUUGGGUACUGAUUCGAGGAAAGAUGAUAUGGGAUUUGGAAAAAGGACAUCGUGGGGAGGCUAUGGUCUAAUUUUGGGGCUGUUUGGACUACCGGAACCGUCGUGAGGCGAUUUCCGGUGGGCGAAGGGCAGUGGUUGAAGGCGGCCGGUGUUGGGGCCUGUCUCUAGGUUAGAGACGAAGGUGAAGGGGG
rnacentral:lncRNA from 1 species